rnacentral:rRNA from 1 species
GCUUCUUUUUCCCCGGAGCUUGCUCCACCGGAAAAAGAAGAGUGGCGAACGGGUGAGUAACACGUGGGUAACCUGCCCAUCAGAAGGGGAUAACACUUGGAAACAGGUGCUAAUACCGUAUAACAAUCGAAACCGCAUGGUUUUGAUUUGAAAGGCGCUUUCGGGUGUCGCUGAUGGAUGGACCCGCGGUGCAUUAGCUAGUUGGUGAGGUAACGGCUCACCAAGGCCACGAUGCAUAGCCGACCUGAGAGGGUGAUCGGCCACAUUGGGACUGAGACACGGUCCAAACCUCUACGGGAGGCAGCAGUAGGGAAUCUUCGGCAAUGGACGAAAGUCUGACCGAGCAACGCCGCGUGAGUGAAGAAGGUUUUCGGAUCGUAAAACUCUGUUGUUAGAGAAGAACAAGGAUGAGAGUAACUGUUCAUCCCUUGACGGUAUCUAACCAGAAAGCCACGGCUAACUACGUGCCAGCAGCCGCGGUAAUACGUAGGUGGCAAGCGUUGUCCGGAUUUAUUGGGCGUAAAGCGAGCGCAGGCGGUUUCUUAAGUCUGAUGUGAAAGCCCCCGGCUCAACCGGGGAGGGUCAUUGGAAACUGGGAGACUUGAGUGCAGAAGAGGAGAGUGGAAUUCCAUGUGUAGCGGUGAAAUGCGUAGAUAUAUGGAGGAACACCAGUGGCGAAGGCGGCUCUCUGGUCUGUAACUGACGCUGAGGCUCGAAAGCGUGGGGAGCAAACAGGAUUAGAUACCCUGGUAGUCCACGCCGUAAACGAUGAGUGCUAAGUGUUGGAGGGUUUCCGCCCUUCAGUGCUGCAGCUAACGCAUUAAGCACUCCGCCUGGGGAGUACGACCGCAAGGUUGAAACUCAAAGGAAUUGACGGGGGCCCGCACAAGCGGUGGAGCAUGUGGUUUAAUUCGAAGCAACGCGAAGAACCUUACCAGGUCUUGACAUCCUUUGACCACUCUAGAGAUAGAGCUUCCCCUUCGGGGGCAAAGUGACAGGUGGUGCAUGGUUGUCGUCAGCUCGUGUCGUGAGAUGUUGGGUUAAGUCCCGCAACGAGCGCAACCCUUAUUGUUAGUUGCCAUCAUUUAGUUGGGCACUCUAGCAAGACUGCCGGUGACAAACCGGAGGAAGGUGGGGAUGACGUCAAAUCAUCAUGCCCCUUAUGACCUGGGCUACACACGUGCUACAAUGGGAAGUACAACGAGUCGCGAAGUCGCGAGGCUAAGCUAAUCUCUUAAAGCUUCUCUCAGUUCGGAUUGUAGGCUGCAACUCGCCUACAUGAAGCCGGAAUCGCUAGUAAUCGCGGAUCAGCACGCCGCGGUGAAUACGUUCCCGGGCCUUGUACACACCGCCCGUCACACCACGAGAGUUUGUAACACCCGAAGUCGGUGAGGUAACCUUUUGGAGCCAGCCGCCUAAGG